rnacentral:ncRNA from 1 species
GUUAAUACAUUGAUGAGGACAGUAAGCUAAAAUCGUAUUUUUCAGAGAGAGAAUAAUUGGUGUAAUAUUCUCAAAUAGAUUUAGACUGAAAACCACCUCUGAGUGACUUUAAUAAAGUCCGUUAUUAUCACGUUACGAUAAAUUUAAGUGACCUAUUUUUAAAUUAUUUAAGAUAGUCUUUUGGCACUAUUAUAUUUUAAUGUUUAGACUUUUUAAUUAAUGUUUUAGGUAAUUAGAGUGGAACCACGGAUAUCACUUCGUCUCUAUA